UUCCGGUUGAUCCCGCCGGACCCCACUGCUAUCGAGAUGGGACUAAGGUAUGCUAGUCGAACGACCAGAACUAUGUCUGGAAGUGGCACACUGCUCAGUAACACGUAGCUAACCUACCCUUAGGACGUGGAUACCCCCGAGAAAUUGGGGUUAAUCCGCGAUAGGUGUAAUGUCCUGGAAUGGUAUUACGCCUAAAGGUGUAUCAUACAUGUUUGAUAUACGCCUAAGGAUGGGGCUGCGGCCGAUCAGGCUGUUGGUGAGGUAAUGGCUCACCAAACCUUUGACCGGUACGGGCCAUGAGAGUGGUAGCCCGGAGAUGGACACUGAGACAAGGGUCCAGGCCCUAAGGGGCGCAGCAACCGCGAAACCUCCACAAUGCACUCACGUGCGAUGGGGCUAUCUCGAGUGCCACCUGAUGAAGGUGGCUUUUCCUAGGUCUUCAAAGCCUUGGGAAUAAGAGGGGGGCAAGACUGGUGUCAGCCGCCGCGGUAACACCAGCCCCUCGAGUGGUGGGGAUGAUUAUUUGGCCUAAAGCGUCCGUAGCCGGCCGAGCAAGUCUUCCGUUAAAUCCAGCGUCUCAAGCGUUGGACUGCGGGAGAUACUACACGGCUAGAGAGUGGGAGAGGUCAGCGGUAUUCUGGGGGUAGGGGCGAAAUCCUUUGAUCCCCGGAGGACCACCAGUGGCGAAGGCUGCUGUCUAGAACACGUCUGACGGUCAGGGACGAAAGCUGGGGUAGCGAACCGGAUUAGAUACCCGGGUAGUCCCAGCCGUAAACGAUGCAUGCUAGGUGUUGGGUUGGCCACGAGCCACCCCAGUGCCGCAGGGAAGCCGUUAAGCAUGCCGCCUGGGAAGUACGAUCGCAAGG
rnacentral:rRNA from 1 species